CUGAUGACCCCAACACCCAGCUCAAUAUUUCCAUAGCACAUGAAACCUCCACUGGGUUAUAGGAAAAAUUUCACAAUAAGUAGGAAACAACUUACUUUAAAAGCCAACCAGUGAUGCCAAAAUGGCAUCUGACUUUGUCUUCACCCACUGCCCCUUCAGCUACUUAGCUCUCCAAUUCUUUUUGGCAGCUUGCCUCUUCCAGCUCCCCAACUCCCAAAAGAUUUCUCUUCUGCCUUCCAUUGGUAGAAGAAAGUGGGGCCUGGAACUCUCUCACAAGUCUUUGGUCCUAUUCCAUGGCCAAUCCAGUGGCACCCACCCAGUGAUUCCUGGGAACCAUGACAACCACAUAUACAACUCAACUAUCUUCCUCCACCACCUCCUUGCCACUACCAUCGAGGCAGCCCAUAUUCCCCUGUAGCCAAGUUAAUAGAUUCAGAUGUCAAUGGCUAACUGGAUAAUUGUCCAUGGUAAUUUCCAUGUUUUUCCUGUAUUCAGCAUGCUGUUCUCUACUCCUCUGCUUCAAAUAAACCCAAAACAAACCUGGAAGAGCACCCGCAGAGAAAUCAUUUGCUAUGAAAGUUAUGAAGAGCUUUUCACAGAAUGUAGGACCAGCAGGGACCUAAGGAGUUCAUACAAUCCGUCUCCUUCCCUUUGGAUGGGAAGUACUGCACCAGUUCAGAUCAAUCUCUCCAUUUUUAAAACAGACUGCUAAAGAAGGAUCACUACUACCAUACAUAGACUUUUCACAAGCCUUCUGGGAGAUAGCAUGGAGUAGUGGGAAAAGUACUGGGCUUGUAACCAAAAGACUUCAGCUUCGAGUCCUAGCUCUGCCACUUACUAGCUAUGGGA